GUUCUGACUGGGUACGGGUGAUCCUGAGGUAGGACCAGGUUCUGACUGGGUACUGGGUGAUCCUGAGGUAGGACCAAGUUCUGACUGGGUACUGGGUGAUCCUGAGGUAGGACCAAGUUCUGACUGGGUACUGGGUGAUCCUGAGGUAGGACCAGGUUCUGACUGGGUAAUGGGUGAUCCUGAGGUAGGACCAGGUUCUGACUGGGUAUUGGGUUACCCUGGGGUAAUUGUGUGUUCUGACUGGGUAUUGGGUUUUCCUGGGGUAAUUGUGUGUUCUGACUGGGUAUUGGGUUGUCCUGGGGUAAUUGUGUGUUCUGACUGGGUAUUGGGUUACCCUGCGGUAAUUGUGUGUUCUGACUGGGUAUUGGGUUUUCCUGAGGUAAUUGUGUGUUCUGAGUGGGUAUUGGGUUGUCCUGGGGUAAUUGUGUGUUCUGACUGGGUAUUGGGUUGUCCUGAGGUAAUUGUGUGUUCUGACUGGGUAUUGGGUUGUCCUGAGGUAAUUGUGUGUUCUGACUGGGUAUUGGGUUGUCCUGGGGUAAUUGUGUGUUCUGACUGGGUAUUGGGUUGUCCUGGGGUAAUUGUGUGUUCUGACUGGGUAUUGGGUUAUCCUGGGGUAAUUGUGUGUUCUGACUGGGUUUUGGGUUGUCCUGGGGUAAUUGUGUGUUCUGACUGGGUAUUGGGUUGUCCUGGGGUAAUUGUGUGUUCUGACUGGGUAUUGGGUUGUCCUGAAGUAAUUGUAUGUUCUGACUGGGUAUUGGGUUGUCCUGAGGUAAUUGUGUGUUCUGACUGGGUAUUGGGUUUUCCUGGGGUAAUUGUGUGUUCUGACUGGGUAUUGGGUUGUCCUGAGGUAAUUGUAUGUUCCGACUGGGUAUUGGGUUGUCCUGAGGUAAUUGUGUGUUCUGACUGGGUAUUGGGUUGUCCUGAGGUAAUUGUGUGUUCUGACUGGGUAUUGGGUUGUCCUGGGGUAAUUGUGUGUUCUGACUGGGUAUUGGGUUGUCCUGGGGUAAUUGUGUGUUCUGACUGGGUAUUGGGUUGUCCUGGGGUAAUUGUGUGUUCUGACUGGGUAUUGGGUUAUCCUGGGGUAAUUGUGUGUUCUGACUGGGUUUUGGGUUGUCCUGGGGUAAUUGUGUGUUCUGACUGGGUAUUGGGUUGUCCUGGGGUAAUUGUGUGUUCUGACUGGGUAUUGGGUUGUCCUGAAGUAAUUGUAUGUUCUGACUGGGUAUUGGGUUGUCCUGGGGUAAUUGUGUGUUCUGACUGGGUAUUGGGUUGUCCUGAGGUGACUGGGUAUUGGGUUUUCCUGAGGUAAUUGUGUGUUCUGACUGGGUAUUGGGUUGUCCUUGGGUAAUUGUGUGUUCUGACUGGGUAUUGGGUUGUCCUGGGGUAAUUGUGUGUUCUGACUGGGUAUUGGGUUGUCCUGGGGUAAUUGUGUGUCCUGACUGGGUAUUGGGUUGUCCUGGGGUAAUUGUGUGUUCUGACUGGGUAUUGGGUUGUCCUGGGGUAAUUGUGUGUUCUGACUGGGUAUUGGGUUGUCCUGGGGUAAUUGUGUGUUCUGACUGGGUAUUGGGUUGUCCUGGGCUAAUUGUGUGUUCUGACUGGGUAUUGGGUUGUCCUGAAGUAAUUGUAUGUUCUGACUGGGUAUUGGGUUGUCCUGAGGUAAUUGUGUGUUCUGACUGGGUAUUGGGUUGUCCUGAGGUAAUUGUGUGUUCUGACUGGGUAUUGGGUUAUCCUGGGGUAAUUGUGUGUUCUGACUGGGUAUUGGGUUGUCCUGGGGUAAUUGUGUGUUCUGACUGGGUAUUGGGUUGUCCUGGGGUAAUUGUGUGUUCUGACUGGGUAUUGGGUUGUCCUGGGGUAAUUGUGUGUCCUGACUGGGUAUUGGGUUGUCCUGGGGUAAUUGUGUGUUCUGACUGGGUAUUGGGUUGUCCUGGGGUAAUUGUGUGUUCUGACUGGGUAUUGGGUUGUCCUGGGGUAAUUGUGUGUUCUGACUGGGUAUUGGGUUGUCCUGAAGUAAUUGUAUGUUCUGACUGGGUAUUGGGUUGUCCUGAGGUAAUUGUGUGUUCUGACUGGGUAUUGGGUUGUCCUGAGGUAAUUGUGUGUUCUGACUGGGUAUUGGGUUAUCCUGGGGUAAUUGUGUGUUCUGACUGGGUAUUGGGUUGUCCUGGGGUAAUUGUGUGUUCUGACUGGGUAUUGGGUUGUCCUGAGGUAAUUGUGUGUUCUGACUGGGUAUUGGGUUGUCCUGGGGUAAUUGUGUGUUCUGAUUGGGUAUUUGGUUGUCCUGAGGUAAUUGUGUGUUCUGAUUGGGUAUUGGGUUGUCCUGAGGUAAUUGUGUGUUCUGAUUGGGUAUUGGAUUGUCCUGAGGUAAUUGUGUGUUCUGAUUGGGUAUUGGGUUGUCCUGAGGUAAUUGUGUGUUCUGACUGGGUAUUGGGUUGUCCUGAGGUGACUGGGUAUUGGGUUGUCCUGAGGUGACUGGGUAUUGGGUUGUCCUGAGGUGACUGGGUAUUGGGUUGUCCUGAGGUAAUUGUGUGUUCUGACUGGGUAUUGGGUUGUCCUGAGGUAUGGUUAUAGAUAGGAUUAAUUAUAAUCUGGCUACCAGUGCCUCUAAACGUUCACCUUCAUUCAUCACAACCAUUAUUUCUUCUCUCUGUUGUUAUUGUUCUGUUUCUUUGAGGAAAUACACUUUGUUAACAUGUUUAAAUUUGUCUAAUAAGAUUAUAACAUUAAUUGAAGAGAAAAAAUUGUAUGGUUUAAGAAUAUAGAAACAACACUUCUGUAUUCCAUUAUAAGAUUUCUAAAAAAUGAAGAUUUGGUGACUUCCUGAAGACAUCUGUGGUGAAUGAAGGUUUAGAAGUGCUGGGUGUGAACCUGGUGUUGUGUUACCUGUGUGCUUUGUAGCUAUCUUCAUCGCUGACAGCAUCAUGACCAAGGUUUCAUCUGGAAGCCUAUUUUGUGCAUUUUAUACACUUUUUGACUUUUUAUAACUGUUCCUCACUAUGUGAACUAUUUUUCUGCUGAAAAUGUUUUUCUAUUUGUGCAUACUUUUGUAGUAUUUAUAUGGUUAAAGGGAGACUGCUCCUAUAAAACUAAUAAAAAAUUUAACAUUAGGUAAUUGCUAUCUUCAUAUCUAUAUAUAUAUUGUGUACAUUUGAGCAAAAUAUAAUCAGAAGUUUUAACAUAAAAAUUCAAAUUGUGUCUUUCUUGGCUGAAGCAUUGUAUUUACACUUGCAUGCAGUGGCAAAUGUUGAGUCCAAAUUGGAAUGGGAUUCCAAUCUCUGUAAUACACCCAGUUUCAAAAUAAUCUGUACAGAAUGGAAAGAUUUUCUGAAGCCUAGAAAAGUUUAUCUGCCACUAACAGGGAUAAUUGUAUUAAACAUGUGUUGUUCUGUGUAUCUAAAGGUUUGUAUAAUCCUAAUGGGGUGGACUGUGGUGUGGAUAUGUAUUACACAGAGCGGUUACAGUAUAGCAUGUUGUCCAGCUGGUAUAAAGUAUGAUGAUAUUCAGACCAAGCUGUUGAUCAAACUAUGCCUUUAUAUACUAAUCAGUCUGUAAGCAUGCCUGUUAUAUGUCUAGACUACCAACCAGGUCACCAAGUAAAUACUAAUGAUAUGAUAGGACCUUGUCCUUGUUCCUGAUGUUGUUACAUUUUAAGGUGUUGACCUCUGAUGGUCAUGUCAACGUUGCCACCUGUAUCUGCUAGCCAUGUUCUACUGUCUGGUACGCUCCACAAAAGUUGUCUCUCCCCUCCAAAAUAUUUACUGUCAAUCUGUUGUUUACAUCUCAAGUUGAAUAUGAUUGAUUUAAGAAAAUGUAUUUUACAUGUGUCAAUCCUUGCAUAAUUUGUAAUUUAACAAAAUAAAGAUUUGUGCUCUCUGUAUACUCUUGAUUAAGGGGAGACAACUUAUUGAGCUGUAAAACUUUUGAUAUUAAUGUGAGCAUGUGUGUAUGUUCUUUCUCUUAUUCUUUGUUUCUUCACAUGUC